AUUGAACGCUGGCGGCAUGCCUUACACAUGCAAGUCGAACGGUAACAGGUCUUCGGAUGCUGACGAGUGGCGAACGGGUGAGUAAUACAUCGGAACGUGCCCGAUCGUGGGGGAUAACGAAGCGAAAGCUUUGCUAAUACCGCAUAAGAUCCAAGGAUGAAAGCAGGGGACCGCAAGGCCUUGCGCGAACGGAGCGGCCGAUGGCAGAUUAGGUAGUUGGUGGGAUAAAAGCUACCAAGCCGACGAUCUGUAGCUGGUCUGAGAGGACGACCAGCCACACUGGGACUGAGACACGGCCCAGACUCCUACGGGAGGCAGCAGUGGGGAAUUUUGGACAAUGGGCGAAAGCCUGAUCCAGCCAUGCCGCGUGCAGGAUGAAGGCCUUCGGGUUGUAAACUGCUUUUGUACGGAACGAAAAGACUCUGGUUAAUACCUGGGGUUCAUGACGGUACCGUAAGAAUAAGCACCGGCUAACUACGUGCCAGCCGCCGCGGUAAAAC
rnacentral:rRNA from 1 species